rnacentral:tRNA from 1 species
GCCUGGGUGGCUCAGUUGGUUAAGCAUCUGACUUCAGUUCAGGUCAUGAUCUCACAGUCCGUGAGUUCGAGCCCCGCGUCAGGCU